rnacentral:rRNA from 1 species
UACGUAGGGGGCUAGCGUUGUCCGGAAUUACUGGGCGUAAAGGGUUCGUAGGUGGCCUGCUAAGUCAGACGUGAAAUCCCCAGGCUCAACCUGGGAACUGCGUCUGAUACUGGAUGGCUUGAAUCCGGGAGAGGGAUGCAGAAUUCCAGGUGUAGCGGUGAAAUGCGUAGAUAUCUGGAGGAAUACCGGUGGCGAAGGCGGCAUCCUGGACCGGCAUUGACGCUGAGGAGCGAAAGCUAGGGGAGCAAACGGG